AACGAACGCUGGCGGCGUGCUUAACACAUGCAAGUCGAACGGGAAGGCCCUGCUUUUGGGGGGUGCUCGAGUGGCGAACGGGUAAGUAACACGUGAGUUACCUGCCCUUGCCUUUGGGAUAACUUCAGGAAACUGGGUCUAAUACCGGAUAGGAGCUCCUGCUGCUUGGUGGGGGUUGGAAAGUUUCGGCGGUUGGGGAUGGACUCGCGGCUUAUCAGCUUGUUGGUUGGGUAGUGGCUUAGCAAGGCCUGGACGGGUAGCCGGCCUGAGAGGGUGACCGGCCACAUUGGGAUUGAGAUACGGCCCAGACUCCUACGGGAGGCAGCAGUGGGGAAUAGUGUACAAGGGGCGGAAGCCUGAUGCAGCAACGCCGCGUGCGGGAUGACGGCCUUCGGGUUGUAAACCGCUUUCGCCUGUGACGAAGUGUGAGUGACGGUAAUGGGUAAAGAAGCACCGGCUAACUACGUG
rnacentral:rRNA from 1 species